AAGAUCAUGCUUCAUAGGAUCAUUUCUAUAGGCAUGCUCGCCGAGAUCGUCCCGCGAUCUUGGAACCUACUCGACCACGAUGAGGAGUCGAGGGUCUCCGCCUGAGCGCGAAGCCGGCGACGGUGCCUUGGGCUCCGGCCCGGGUUCCAGCCAUUGAUGACCGUUCCCCCGCGCUUGAACAGCGCGGUGGGAUGGCGGAGACCCAGUCUGAGUGGC
rnacentral:snoRNA from 1 species